rnacentral:rRNA from 1 species
UACGUAGGGUGCGAGCGUUAAUCGGAAUUACUGGGCGUAAAGCGUGCGCAGGCGGUUUUGUAAGCCAGAUGUGAAAUCCCCGGGCUUAACCUGGGAAUGGCAUUUGGGACUGCAAGGCUAGAGUGUGGCAGAGGAGACUGGAAUUCCUGGUGUAGCAGUGAAAUGCGCAGAUAUCAGGAGGAACACCGAUUGCGAAGGCAGCUCGCUGGAACGUUACUGACGCUGAGACGCGAAAGCGUGGGGAGCAAACAGG